rnacentral:tRNA from 1 species
GCCUAAAUAGUUUAAAAAAAAUGUUAGUUUGUGGAGCUUGAGAUGUAUAAAAUACUUUGGGCA